CCUACGGGAGGCAGCAGUGAGGAAUAUUGGUCAAUGGGCGCGAGCCUGAACCAGCCAAGUAGCGUGAAGGAUGACUGCCCUUCGGGUUGUAAACUUCUUUUAUAAAGGAAUAAAGUGAGGCACGUGUGCCUCUUUGUAUGUACUUUAUGAAUAAGGAUCGGCCAACUCCGUUCCAGCAGCCGUGGUAAUACGGAGGAUCCGUGCGUUAUCCGGAUUUAUUGGGUUUACAGGGAGCGUAGGUGGGUUGUUAAGUCAUUUGUGAAAGUUUGCGGCUCAACCGUAAAAUUGCAAUUGAUACUGGCAGUCUUGAGUACAGUUGAGGUAAGCGGAAUUCGUGGUGUAGCGGUGAAAUGCUUAGAUAUCACGAAGAACUCCGAUUGCGAAGGCAGCUUACUAAACUGCCACUGACAUUGAUGCUCGAAAGUGUGGGUAUCAAACAGGAUUAGAUACCCUAGUAGUC
rnacentral:rRNA from 1 species